AAACGUUUUCCGAUCAGACACAAAAAUCUCAGCGCCCAAACCCUAGCUAGCCCCUCCCACCGUCACUCCCUCAAUCCAAAUGGACGGCGACGGCAGCCUCCGCUUCGACUUCGAGGACGACGUCGACGCUUCGAGCGCUGGAUCCGGCUCCGCGUCCUCGGAAGCCCCCAUCCUCGCCGUGGGAGGGCCGUCCCGUGGCCGCGGCCACGGAAGCAUCGAAAUGGACGGCGACGAGGACAGCCUCCGCUUCGACUUCGAGGACGGCCUCGACGCGGCCGGCGCUGGCACCGAAUCCUCGGCCUGGCCCUUCGAAGCCCCCAUCCCCUCCGCUGGAGGGCCGUCCCAUGGCCCUGGCAGCCGCAGCAUCCAAAUGGACGGCGACGAGGGCAGCCUCCGCUUCGACAUCGAGGACUACCUCGACUCCGUCGCCGCUGGAUCCGGCUCCGACGAGGAGAUCCCGGAGUGCAGAAUGUUUAGCGUGGGCUUUUGCCUUAAUGGAUCUAAUUGCAAGUGCAUGCAUGUUAAGCUACCUGGGUCGCCUCCUGUUCAAGAAGUCCUCCAGAAGUUUCAACAGACGAAUGCCUAUAACUAUGGUUCAUCAAGCACAACUUAUCAGCCUAGAGAUAAUAACUGUAAGCAGAAGGCGAAACCUCAAGUCCAGCAUGAGUCGGUGCUGAAGAACCAAAAUUUGGCUGUAAAUGCUACUCUUGUACCACAACAACCUGCUGCUCAGCAUGUGCAGACAGCAAAUCCACCACCACACCUACAGCAGCAGCAAAAUGCUCAGGUUCAAGGUGUCCAUAAUGGGUCAUCUAUCCAAAAACUACCGCAACUGCAAGCCCACUUCCACAAGGGCAAUCAAGGUACUUGGUUAUUAAAUGUUGCAACCAGGAGAAUCUGGAUUUUGGUUCAGUGGGGUGUUUGUGCCCCUCAAAAAGGAUUAAUGAGGUGAACUUGACGAAGCAUGUCCAUGGAGAGUGUCAUUUCAAUAUUCCCCAUCUCUAGAACUCAUCAUUUCCAGAGUAGUUGAAAAGUAAAAUAGUGCUAUUCUGUUGGAUACAUCAAAUUAUAGCUGAACACACUUUCUUCAGUGUCUGUGCAAAACUUCUAGAAUUAGUGGCGGAAUUUAGAAAUAUGCUCACAGAAGCCCAUUGUGGUCAGAACUUCUCUCCAGUGGCUUAUCCAUACUUUCUUUAUGGUUUAUCCAUACUUAUUUUAAUUUGUCAUCAUUCCACAUUAUAUCUUUCCAGUGGUGGAUAGUACUACUCUUUCUCACUGAUGGAAUAUAGCAUCUCAUAGCAGAUUAGAUGACAUAAGCUUGUGUAUUCACACCAUACUGCAUUGCAUGCUAAUAUUUAUUGAUUCUGUUAACUGUGAAAGAACUACACCGAGUUUCUCCUCGCAUAAUACUUCGUAUUUAACAACAGAUCUUAUGCUAUAGACAUUUCCACUAAUUUAUGCUUAAAGGGGAAAUAUUUAUGUCUUCUAAGGGGACUAAAGGCUUUGUUGUUGUUGUUGAUAGUAGAGCAUGUAAAUAGCUUCUUAGUUUAGUUAUUUAUAAGGAAGUUGGUUGAUGGUAGAGAUGCUCUGGUAAUCAUGAGUCAUUUUUCUCUUUUUUAAUUUUUAAUGGUAUCAUGACUAAAUGAACCAUUCAUUAACAUGUUUUUUUUAUCUUCUAUUGUACCUCCAGUUUGGUACAUUUUUGUCAUUUAGCUCCAAGCUAUGGGACAAGAAGCAUUUAAUGACUUAGUUUUUAAAAAGAGAUUGACUCAAUUGUAUGCCCAACUCACAUCAGCACCCAAAGAAUGUUAAUAGGAGCAUUUAGUAGAAAAUAUUGCCGCCAAAACUAGAGUAACAAACAAGUAUGUAACACAACAUAUAUUCUGCUUUGAUGGUUGUAAUUUGGUAAUAAUAUAAUUUGUUUUGUAAUACAGUAGUCUAAAAGUAAAAUUAUGCUAUUCAGUUGGAUACUAAAUUAUUGUUAAAUUCACCUUUUUCAAGGGCUCUUGAAAGGUUACUUCUAAGUUUGGUGGCUACACUCGUGGUUGGAUUUGGAAAUUUACUUACAGAAGUUCAUUAUGGUUAGAAUUUCUCUCCAUUGGCUCAAGGUACAACAAAUUAUGGAAAUCCGCCCGCCCGAGUACUAGGAACUGGCUGCCGCGGCCCCACAUCGAAGCAUGCCUGCCCCGCCACGUGUCUCGCUCGUCAGCCGCCGACCCACCCUAGCCGCCACCGUCCCAGAGCGAAGCAUCCGCGCCCCGCCACCUGUCGUCCUCACUAGCUGCUGGCCUCCAUUGCGGUCUUUGCGAUGAUCCUGAUGUUGUUGUCAGGUGUUGGCUGCUAGUGCCCCUGCUUGCUGAUUUUCAGCGCCUCUGUCGCUGCUUGGUGGGUCGGUCCUUUCUCUGUUCCAUGCUCAUCGACAUCAUUUGAUUUUGCUUGGUUCCCUUUGAGCAUUGUAAAAAGAAGGCAAUUUCUUUGUCACCGGGCUUCGUUUCCAUCCCUUGCUACCCGUAGAUUUUUGACGAUGUUGAUUGCACUGACUUCAUUUCCCACAUGGGCAUUCACUUGCGUGGUCUGCGUCUCUGGGCAUACUCUCUGGCGAGGUUUCUUAUCUGUUGUGCCCUGUUGCCCCUGUGGAAUCUUCACCACUCCCUAUGACUGUUGUUGAUAAGGCUGUCGCUCAUGCUGCUAAGGUUGCUGAUGAUGUCACAUGAUGCCUAAGAUCAAAACGUAAACUAUCAAGGGCUUGACCAGGCAGCGGUGCUGCACGUAGGUCCUACCAUGCGGUGGCUACUACACGCAGCAACCACGACCCGUAAAUGCGAGCACAUGGCGAAAGACAGAAGAGAGCAAUAGCCGGUAGGGCCGUAGGCUGGUGCGCACAUGCAUCCCGAUUCCGAUCCCAAACACUAAUGGGUCACGACUACCCCACCUCUCUUGCUGCUUUCAUCCCUAUCAUGUGAUUCUUCUCCCAAAAAAGCACAAGUCGUGAAAUCCACACCAGAUAUAGUUACAACUGUACAACUGCCCCCAGAAAACUCCAAGGAGAGACAAAAAAAGGACACAGAGAAGUCUUUGGUCGAGUAAAACAAGAUCUAAUAUUCAGGCAAUGCAUGAUUCAGCAGUGGAUGUAUUAAGUCUAGUUGCUAGUUUGGUUUCAUGCCUGGGAGGUCGACCAUGGAAGCCAUUUUCUUGGUACGACAACUUAUGGAGAGAUACAAGGAGCAAAAGAAGGACUUGCAUAUGGUGUUCAUUGACUUGGAGAAGGCCUAUGAU